AUGCUGCUGGGCUCCUCCUUCGCGUCCCCGUUCACCCAGCUCCACCUCUCGCCGGGCCCCAAUGCGGGGUCGACGGCGCGGCCGGCGGCGGGGCUGGUGCUGAGGAUCGAGGCGGCGAAGCAGCUGACGGGGCGGGUGGUGACGACCAAGGCGAACAAGACGGUGGGGGUGGAGGUGGCGCGGCUGAAGCAGCACCCCAAGUACCACCGCCGGGAGAAGAUCAAGAAGAAGUACCAGGCGCACGACCCCGACAACCAGUUCAAGGUCGGCGACGUCGUCGAGCUCGUCCGCUCCCGCCCCAUCUCCAAGACCAAGCACUUCCUCGCCGUCCCCGUCCCGCCCCGCGACACCCGCCGCAAGGCCCAGCUCCUCCCCCCGCUCGAGUCCCAGUCCGGCGACGACUCCGCCGCCGCCGAAGAGACCGCUGCUGCCUAG
rnacentral:rRNA from 1 species